CCUACGGGUGGCUGCAGUGAGGAAUAUUGGUCAAUGGGCGUAAGCCUGAACCAGCCAAGUCGCGUGAGGGAUGAAGGUUCUAUGGAUCGUAAACCCCUUUUAUAAGGGAAUAAAGUGUGGGACGUGUCCUAUUUUGUAUGUACCUUAUGAAUAAGGAUCGGCUAACUCCGUGCCAGCAGCCGCGGUAAUACGGAGGAUCCGAGCGUUAUCCGGAUUUAUUGGGUUUAAAGGGUGCGUAGGCGGCCUUUUAAGUCAGCGGUGAAAGUCUGUGGCUCAACCAGAGAAUUGCCGUUGAAACUGGGGGUCUUGAGUAUGUGGGAGGCAGACGGAAUGCGUGGUGUAGCGGUGAAAUGCUUAGAUAUCAGGCGGAACCCCGAUUGCGAAGGCAGCCUGCCGAGCCAUGACUGACGCUGAUGCACGAAAGCGUGGGGAUCAAACAGGAUUAGAUACCCUUGUAGUC
rnacentral:rRNA from 1 species